UGGACCUUUCAAAGGGAAGCCAGGAGCUCAUCAGGCUGUGCCCAAAGGCUGACAUUACCCAUAGGAUGCCACAGCCAUGCAGCGCUUUGCUUUCGUAGGAGAUACAAGA
rnacentral:snoRNA from 1 species